GAUGAAGAACGUAGCGAAAUGCGAUAAGUAAUGUGAAUUGCAGAAUUCAGUGAAUCAUCGAAUCUUUGAACGCACAUUGCGCCCGCCAGUAUUCUGGCGGGCAUGCCUGUUCGAGCGUCAUUUCAACCAUCAAGCCCCAGGCUUGUGUUGGGGACCUGCGGCUGCCGCAGGCCCUGAAAACCAGUGGCGGGCUCGCUGUCACACCGGGCGUAGUAGAUUUUAUCUCGCUCAGGGCGUGCUGCGGGUUCCGGCCGUUAAAAAGCCUUUUUUACCCAAGGUUGACCUCGGAUCAGGUAGGAAGACCCGCUGAACUUAAGCAUAUCAGUAAGCGGAGGA
rnacentral:misc_RNA from 1 species